UGAUUUUGAUGGUGACUCCCUGAUCUGUGCGGAAGCAGUGUGUAGGAAAUCAAGAAAUCAGGAGGAACAGAGGGUUAUUAGAAAAGAAUCAACCUAUUGAGCAACAAUGAAGUUCUGGUUCAUCGGUGCUAUUUUUAUUGCACAUAGACAAACAAGCUGGAGAAGGAAACUGACAUAAGCAGAGCACACCCAAACCUGCCUUUUAUCACUUAGCUAGAGCGGUAUCCUGUCGCCAUCAGACUUCAGUUUCACAUCCCCGAAGAUUCCUGGAGAGAUGGUUCCGAAGAAUAUAGAGGGGAAAUUUUCGUCGGUUAAAGUUAAGAAGGUACAAACAGAUGAAGAAUACUGCAGCAUUAUAUGGUGUUUUGAUGUUGUGUCGAGAUUCGAGGUCUUCGAGCUUCGGCAUGUGACUUAUAACUCUUUUCUUCAAAUUGUUGCUGAUUCUGAGCUAAAAAUAUUCGGCGCACUCCGCUAGGGUUUUGCUGAGGUUCCUCUCCGUGGCGACGAGCAAGAUCAAGACAGCGUAAACGUUCAUGGAGAAGGCGUCGGGGCUGCUCUUCUCCGGCGUCCGGGUCGACCGAAAGCGGUUCGCCCGGGAGAUUGCCCGAUUCCAGCAGUCGAAGAAAGAACCGGAUGAUCUCGAGGACCUAGCGGAUGCAGCGCUGGAAGCCUUGCCGGAGGUGAAGGCGAACAAGAAGGAGAAGAAGCGGAAGCGCAAGGAUAAGGACUCUUCUGGUUGCAUCUCUGGCUUACAUGCUGUGGAGGGGUUCAGUGUGUUCAAGAGUUCCGAGUCUUUGUCCUCUAUUCUAGAAAGUAAUGCUUUGGAGGCUACUUCUGCUGAGAAGAAGAAGGAAGUGGAAAAGGAGAUUGAGAAAGCUUCUAUUCUGCGUAAGAAGUAUGGAAUUCAUGUUUCAGGACACGGUGUUCCUCCCCCGCUCGAGAGUUUUGUAGAGCUAAGCUCAAGGUAUAACUGCAAACCAUAUAUUUUGCAUAACUUAACUGAACUUGGUUUUCGAGAGCCUACACCUAUUCAGAGGCAGGCUAUUCCAGUACUCCUUUCUAAGAGGGAUUGCUUUGCAUGUGCACCAACUGGCUCUGGCAAGACAUUGGCAUUUUUAUGUCCAAUGCUCAUGAUGAUUAAGCCAGGGUUAAAGAAUGGUGUAAAAGCUGUUGUUCUCUGCCCUACUAGAGAAUUAGCUGCUCAAACUGCUGGAGAGUGCAAGAGGCUGGCUAAGGGGAGAAAAUUUUACAUCAAGUUAAUGACUAAGGAGCUCUCCAGAUGUGGUGAUUUUGAAAAAAUGCUGUGUGAUAUAAUCAUAUCCACUCCUUUCCGGUUGGACUUUGCUAUUCGCAAAAGGAAGUUUGACUUGAGUCGGGUGAAAUAUCUUGUCUUGGAUGAAGCUGAUAAGCUUUUUGAGCUAGGUUUUGUAGAACAAAUUGAUUCUGUGGUCAAAGCCUGUUCAAGAACUACUGUAGUACGUACACUGUUCAGUGCGACUUUGCCUGAAACUGUUGAAAAACUUGCAAGCACUGUUAUGGUUGAUGCAGUUCGAAUCAUCAUUGGUAGAAAAAAUUCUGCCUCUGAGAUGAUUAAGCAAAAACUUGUUUUUGCUGGUAGCGAAAAAGGGAAAUUGCUUGCUAUUCAUCAAAGCUUUUCAGAGAGUCUGAAUCCUCCGGUACUAGUGUUUGUUCAAAGCAAAGAAAGAGCGAAGGAACUUUACAAGGAAUUAGCAUUUGAUGACAUAAAAGUUGAUGUUAUUCAUGCAGACCUUUCCCAGCAGCAGCGAGAAGAUGCAGUUGAUAACUUCAGAUCAGGCAAGACAUGGGUUCUGAUAGCAACUGAUGUUGUUUCUCGGGGUAUGGAUUUUAAGAUGAUCAACUGUGUGAUCAACUAUGAUUUUCCUGAAUCAGCUGCAGCAUAUAUUCAUAGAAUUGGUCGAUCUGGACGGGCUGGAAGACCUGGAGAAGCUGUAACAUUCUUCACUGAAGAGGAUAAACCUUUUUUGAGGAACAUAGCCAAUGUGAUGGCAGCAUCUGGCUGUGAAGUUCCUUCCUGGAUUCUUACUUUGCCCAAGCUCAGAAAAAGAAAGCACCGGCCACAGAGAGACUCGAUAUCAACCAUUCCCGACGACAGUGCCUAGUAAAAGAAAUGCUGCAGUAUGUUCUAAAGCAUCAGGUUCCUUACUCCCAUCCGUCCCGAGAGAUCUGCUGCUGUGGUUUUCAACAUUCUGGCCCUUGAUUGCCAUCGCUGAGUUGUCUGUGGACGAAGAUUUCGAAUGUUGGAAACAUUCUGUCCUGAGGUUUGAUUCUGCCAAAGAAUUUGGUUGCUCGGAAAUGUAGACGAUGGUAAUAUAUUUGUGCAGGCUACAUUAACAUUGAUAACCAAUAAGCUAUCAAGGUAUGGAGUUAAAUAUGAUUAUCUUCAUAAUCAUACAGCUUAGCCAGAUCAAGUCUGAGAAAAAAAAAAUCACAAACUAAUUUGAUGAUGCUACCUACCUACUAUAAUUAUAAAAUUCGUGUUUUUUUUUUUUGUAAAACGAUGUAUACAUUUAUAUUUUCCGUAAAACCAUGUAUUUCAAUUAUAGUUGAGAUUAGCUCUA